UCCGUAGGCGGGCUAAUAAGUCAGGGGUGAAAUCCAACAGCUUAACUGUUGAACUGCCUUUGAUACUGUUAGUCUUGAAUUAUAUGGAAGUAGAUAGAAUGUGUAGUGUAGCGGUGAAAUGCUUAGAGAUUACACAGAAUACCGAUUGCGAAGGCAGUCUACUACGUAUAUAUUGACGCUAAUGGACGGAAGCGUGGGGAGCGAACAGGAUUAGAUACCCUGGUAGUCC
rnacentral:rRNA from 1 species